CCUACGGGGGGCAGCAGUGAGGAAUAUUGGUCAAUGGACGAGAGUCUGAACCAGCCAAGUAGCGUGAAGGAUGACUGCCCUAUGGGUUGUAAACUUCUUUUAUAUGGGAAUAAAAUGUUCCACGUGUGGGAUUUUGUAUGUACCAUAUGAAUAAGGAUCGGCUAACUCCGUGCCAGCAGCCGCGGUAAUACGGAGGAUCCGAGCGUUAUCCGGAUUUAUUGGGUUUAAAGGGAGCGUAGGUGGAUUGUUAAGUCAGUUGUGAAAGUUUGCGGCUCAACCGGAAAAUUGCAGUUGAAACUGGCAGUCUUGAGUACAGUAGAGGUUGGCGGAAUGCGUGGUGUAGCGGUGAAAUGCUUAGAUAUCACGAAGAACUCCGAUUGCGAAGGCAGUUCACUGGACUGCAACUGACACUGAGGCUCGAAAGUGUGGGUAUCAAACAGGAUUAGAUACCCGAGUAGUC
rnacentral:rRNA from 1 species